AGUUUGUGUCUCAACAUGGCCACAAUCUCGGCAGCUGGGUAUCCAGGGUCUGGGGCUGGACAGUGGGAGCUGGAGCUGGGCGCAGGCUCUGCCCCAGGAGGAGGUCUGCCACCAAGACCGGCGCUGCGCGGGGAAAUGGUCGAGGGAAUGCCGCCCCAUGCAGGAGACCUUUAUUUUGAAAGUGUGUAGUCUAGCCCUUACUCAGUCUCUUUAUGGAAACCUAUGACCAUUACUGGAUGUGGACCAUAUUUGGAGCAUUUAUUACUGGCUUGGUGAACAACAUAGGCAGCAUGCUGACCCAGUUCUACGGAUUCACCCUAUUAAGGAAGAAAUGGAGAUUCCUGAUUUGAGAGAUUGCUUGGUCAAAAUUCGGCAAGACUACAAUUUGCAUGU
rnacentral:lncRNA from 1 species